UACGGGGGGGGGCAAGCGUUGUUCGGAAUUACUGGGCGUAAAGGGCUCGUAGGUGGCCAACUAAGUCAGACGUGAAAUCCCUCGGCUUAACCGGGGAACUGCGUCUGAUACUGGAUGGCUUGAGUUCGGGAGAGGGAUGCGGAAUUCCAGGUGUAGCGGUGAAAUGCGUAGAUAUCUGGAGGAACACCGGUGGCGAAGGCGGCAUCCUGGACCGACACUGACACUGAGGAGCGAAAGCCAGGGGAGCAAACAGG
rnacentral:rRNA from 1 species